rnacentral:rRNA from 1 species
GCCUUAGUAGCGGCGAGUGAAGCGGCAAAAGCUCAAAUUUGAAAUCUGGCUCUUUCAGAGUCCGAGUUGUAAUUUGAAGAAGGUAUCUUUGGGUCUGGCUCUUGUCUAUGUUUCUUGGAACAGAACGUCACAGAGGGUGAGAAUCCCGUGCGAUGAGAUGAUCCAGGCCUAUGUAAAGUUCCUUCGAAGAGUCGAGUUGUUUGGGAAUGCAGCUCUAAGUGGGUGGUAAAUUCCAUCUAAAGCUAAAUAUUGGCGAGAGACCGAUAGCGAACAAGUACAGUGAUGGAAAGAUGAAAAGAACUUUGAAAAGAGAGUGAAAAAGUACGUGAAAUUGUUGAAAGGGAAGGGCUUGAGAUCAGACUUGGUAUUUUGUAUGUUACUUCUUCGGGGGUGGCCUCUACAGUUUAUCGGGCCAGCAUCAGUUUGGGCGGUAGGAGAAUUGCGUUGGAAUGUGGCACGGCUUCGGUUGUGUGUUAUAGCCUUCGUCGAUACUGCCAGCCUAGACUGAGGACUGCGGUUUAUACCUAGGAUGUUGGCAUAAUGAUCUUAAGUCGCCCGUCUUG